UACGGAGGGAGCUAGCGUUAUUCGGAAUUACUGGGCUUAAAGGGUGCGUAGGCGGUGGAGUAAGUCGGAUGUGAAAUACCUUAGCUUAACUAGGGAACUGCACUCGAUACUACUUUGCUAGAGUAAGACAGAGGUGAGUGGAACUGAGGGUGGAGCGGUGAAAUGCGUUGAUAUCCUCAGGAACACCGGUGGCGAAGGCGACUCACUGGGUCUUUACUGACGCUGAUGCACGAAAGCUAGGGUAGCAAACGGG
rnacentral:rRNA from 1 species